UACGGAGGGUGCAAGCGUUAAUCGGAAUUACUGGGCGUAAAGCGCGCGUAGGUGGUUGUUUAAGUCAGCUGUGAAAGCCCCGGGCUCAACCUGGGAAUUGCAGUUGAUACUGGCCAACUAGAGUGCAGGAGAGGGAGGUAGAAUUCCACGUGUAGCGGUGAAAUGCGUAGAUAUGUGGAGGAAUACCGGUGGCGAAGGCGGCCUCCUGGCCUGACACUGACACUGAGGUGCGAAAGCGUGGGGAGCAAACAGG
rnacentral:rRNA from 1 species